AGUCAGCACUGGAUGUUUUGGCCCAGCUGACAAUGAAGAGUGCAGCAAGAUGUGGUGUGCAAUAUGACUUGCAGAUCUCCGAGAAUAGGUGUGAGUUCAAUGCCUUGCGCGCCCUUGGGCCACUCCCAAUGGUGUGCUGCAUUUGAAACAG
rnacentral:rRNA from 5 species